GGAGGCUCCCGCUCCGCCCCAUCAGGAGUUGCAUGGGGUAUGGGGGAGUGGGGUAGAUCCCCGGGGCACAGCGAGGAGGAAGAGGAGGAAAAAAAAAGGAGGAGGACGACGUGGGGCUUGGCAGGGAGCGUCCUGGCUCUGGUCAGGAUUGCGAGGUUGGGUAUCAGUCUGCACUGAACUGGCCUGCCAAUUGCAGGUGAGUGGGAGAGCCCCUCACCCUCCCCACUACCCCCGACCCCGGAGUGAGUCAAGGAGGAAGAAGAAGGAGACCGCCCCGCACCCGCGCCCCAGCCUCCCGGUCUGUUUGCCUGGGACCUCUCAGCAGCUGGGAGACUAAUCAAACUCCUUUGGCUGGGUUUGAUGGGACUUUUGUUGCUGUCAUCAUUGGAAUGUGGAUGUUUGAAACAAAGGUGUAGAAAUAAACGAAUUGUUUGUGAUUUAGCUAUGGACCUAGA